rnacentral:rRNA from 1 species
UAAUACGGAGGGGGCGAGUGUUGUUCGGAAUUACUGGGCGUAAAGGGCGCGCAGGCGGCCUGGCAAGUCGAGUGUGAAAUCCCUUGGCUUAACUGAGGAAUGGCGCUCGAAACUACCUCGCUGGAGGGCGGGAGAGGGAAGUGGAACUCUCGGUGUAGGGGUGAAAUCUGUAGAUAUCGAGAGGAACACCGGUGGCGAAGGCGGCUUCCUGGCCCGUACCUGACGCUGAGGCGCGAAAGCGUGGGGAGCAAACAGGAUUAGAUACCCUGGUAGUCCACGCCCUAAACGAUGUCAACUGGUUGUUGGGGAAGGCAACUUCCUUAGUAACGAAGCUAACGCGUGAAGUUGACCGCCUGGGGAGUACGGCCGCAAGGUUA